rnacentral:rRNA from 1 species
CCACGUAUCCUUGACCAUCUAGCGACCUCCACGGCACAAGUUAUGUUGUGUUAUCGACAAGUGAAUUCAUAGCUUGUCAGAAGGCAGACCCGGAGANCUAGNNACNUCCNNNGUACCCGGAGGAAGAGAAAGAAAAAUCGAUUCCCUGAGUAGCGGCGAGCGAAACGGGAAGAGCCCAAACCAACAAGCUUGCUUGUUGGGGUUGUAGGACACUCUAUACGGAGUUACAAAAGAACAUGUUAGACGAAUCAUCUGGAAAGAUGAAUCAAAGAAGGUAAUAAUCCUGUAGUCGAAAACAUAUUCUCUCUUGAGUGGAUCCUGAGUACGACGGAGCACGUGAAAUUCCGUCGGAAUCUGGGAGGACCAUCUCCUAAGGCUAAAUACUCUCUAGUGACCGAUAGUGAACCAGUACCGUGAGGGAAAGGUGAAAAGUACCCCGGAAGGGGAGUGAAAGAGAACUUGAAACCGUGUGCUUACAAGUAGUCAGAGCCCGUUAAUGGGUGAUGGCGUGCCUUUUGUAGAAUGAACCGGCGAGUUACGAUCUGAUGCAAGGUUAAGCAGCAAAUGUGGAGCCGCAGCGAAAGCGAGUCUGAAUAGGGCGUUGAGUAUUUGGUCGUAGACCCGAAACCAGGUGAUCUACCCUUGGUCAGGUUGAAGUUCAGGUAACACUGAAUGGAGGACCGAACCGACUUACGUUGAAAAGUGAGCGGAUGAACUGAGGGUAGCGGAGAAAUUCCAAUCGAACUUGGAGAUAGCUGGUUCUCUCCGAAAUAGCUUUAGGGCUAGCCUCAAGUGAUGAUUAUUGGAGGUAGAGCACUGUUUGGACGAGGGGCCCCUCUCGGGUUACCGAAUUCAGACAAACUCCGAAUGCCAAUUAAUUUAACUUGGGAGUCAGAACAUGGGUGAUAAGGUCCGUGUUCGAAAGGGAAACAGCCCAGACCACCAGCUAAGGUCCCAAAAUAUAUGUUAAGUGGAAAAGGAUGUGGCGUUGCAUAGACAACUAGGAUGUUGGCUUAGAAGCAGCCAUCAUUUAAAGAGUGCGUAAUAGCUCACUAGUCGAGUGACACUGCGCCGAAAAUGUACCGGGGCUAAACAUAUUACCGAAGCUGUGGAUUGUCCUUUGGACAAUGGUAGGAGAGCGUUCUAAGGGCGUCGAAGCAUGAUCGCAAGGACAUGUGGAGCGCUUAGAAGUGAGAAUGCCGGUGUGAGUAGCGAAAGACGGGUGAGAAUCCCGUCCACCGAUUGACUAAGGUUUCCAGAGGAAGGCUCGUCCGCUCUGGGUUAGUCGGGUCCUAAGCUGAGGCCGACAGGCGUAGGCGAUGGAUAACAGGUUGAUAUUCCUGUACCACCUAGUAUCGUUUUAAUCGAUGGGGGGACGCAGUAGGAUAGGCGAAGCGUGCUGUUGGAGUGCACGUCCAAGCAGUAAGGNUGAGUGUUAGGCAAAUCCGGCACUCAUAAGGCUGAGCUGUGAUGGGGAGAGGAAAUUGUUUCCUCGAGUCGUUGAUUUCACACUGCCGAGAAAAGCCUCUAGAUAGAUAACAGGUGCCCGUACCGCAAACCGACACAGGUAGUCGAGNNGAGAANNCUAAGGUGAGCGAGAGAACUCUCGUUAAGGAACUCGGCAAAAUGACCCCGUAACUUCGGGAGAAGGGGUGCUCUUUAGGGUUUACGCCCAGAAGAGCCGCAGUGAAUAGGCCCAAGCGACUGUUUAUCAAAAACACAGGUCUCUGCUAAACCGUAAGGUGAUGUAUAGGGGCUGACGCCUGCCUGGUGCUGGAAGGUUAAGAGGAGUGGUUAGCUUCUGCGAAGCUACGAAUCGAAGCCCCAGUAAACGGCGGCCGUAACAAUAACGGUCCUAAGGUAGCGAAAUUCCUUGUCGGGUAAGUUCCGACCUGCACGAAUGGCGUAAUGAUGGCCAGGCUG